ensembl:misc_RNA 7SK 7SK RNA
AGACAGGAGGUUAAGUAUGGCUAUGACAUUUCACCUAGUGCUCACCAGGGUUAACCUGGCUGAGCUUAAUGGACACAAGAAUGUCCUUGUCAUUUCUCUUUACUCUUCGAGUGUCCCUUCCAUUCCCUCUGUCAAUAGGAUGGUUCCAGAUGAACAGGGACAUUCUAGCCAAGAAGUGUCAGAAGCUUUCCAUCACUGAUGAGCCCUCCAAACAAGCUCUCCAGACCUGACACUUAGUAGGUUCUCAGUCGAUAUCUGCUAAAUACAGAUGUACAUGAACCAACUAUCAGCACCAUUGU